AUUGAACGCUGGCGGCAUGCUUUACACAUGCAAGUCGAACGGUAACAGGUUAAGCUGACGAGUGGCGAACGGGUGAGUAAUGCAUCGGAACGUGCCCGAUCGUGGGGGAUAACACUUCGAAAGAAGUGCUAAUACCGCAUACGAUCUGAGGAUGAAAGCGGGGGACCGUAAGGCCUCGCGCGAUCGGAGCGGCCGAUGUCAGAUUAGGUAGUUGGUGGGGUAAAGGCUCACCAAGCCGACGAUCUGUAGCUGGUCUGAGAGGACGACCGGCCACACUGGGACUGAGACACGGCCCAGACUCCUACGGGAGGCGGCAGUGGGGAAUUUUGGACAAUGGGCGCAAGCCUGAUCCAGCAAUGCCGCGUGCAGGAAGAAGGCCUUCGGGUUGUAAACUGCUUUUGUACGGAGCGAAAAGGCUCUCUCUAAUACAGGGGGCUCAUGACGGUACCGUAAGAAUAAGCACCGGCUAACUACGUGCCAGCCGCCCGCGGUAA
rnacentral:rRNA from 1 species